AGAAUCAACGCUGGCGGCGUGCCUAACACAUGCAAGUCGCACGAGAAAGGGACUUCGGUCUUGAGUAAAGUGGCGCACGGGUGAGUAACACGUGACUAAUCUACCCUCGAGUGGGGAAUAACUGAGAGAAAUCUUAGCUAAUACCGCAUAACACUUACGAGUCAAAGCAGCAAUGCGCUUGGGGAGGAGGUCGCGGCCGAUUAGCUAGUUGGCGGGGUAAUGGCCCACCAAGGCGAUGAUCGGUAUCCGGCCUGAGAGGGCGCACGGACACACUGGGAACUGAAACACGGUCCAGACUCCUACGGGAGGCAGCAGUGGGGAAUUUUGCGCAAUGGGGGAAACCCUGACGCAGCAACGCCGCGUGGAGGAUGAAGUAUCUUGGUACGUAAACUCCUUUCGAUGGGGAAGAUAAUGACGGUACCAUAGAAGAAGCCCGGCUAACUUCGCGCCAGCAGCCGC
rnacentral:rRNA from 1 species